AAUUCCUUAACUAAUAAAGAAUUUAAAGAUUUAAAAACAAACAAAUAAAAAAACCAACAAGCUACUCCAAUGUUCAUCUCAUCUUCUUCCUCAGAAUAACAACUUUAAAAGAAUCAAGCUAAACCACAUAAGGAAGUAACUAAAUUAUGAACUGUUCAUCUUUCUCAAGAAAUGUGUUUUGACUAACAUCGUAAAGCCAAUUUACCAACAAAUAUCAUUGGAGAUGUUUUGGGGAGCUCACUUCUGUGCUUAACUUGAGAAUAAAUGGCAUGAAAAUU